AGUGAACGCUGGCGGUAGGCCUAACACAUGCAAGUCGAACGGCAGCACAGUAAGAGCUUGCUCUUACGGGUGGCGAGUGGCGGACGGGUGAGGAAUACAUCGGAAUCUACUUUUUCGUGGGGGAUAACGUAGGGAAACUUACGCUAAUACCGCAUACGACCUACGGGUGAAAGCAGGGGAUCUUCGGACCUUGCGCGAUUGAAUGAGCCGAUGUCUGAUUAGCUAGUUGGCGGGGUAAAGGCCCACCAAGGCGACGAUCCGUAGCUGGUCUGAGAGGAUGAUCAGCAAAACUGGAACUGAGAACCGGUCCAGCCUCCUCCGGGAGGCAGCAGUGGGGAAUAUUGGACAAUGGGCGCAAGCCUGAUCCAGCCAUACCGCGUGGGUGAAGAAGGCCUUCGGGUUGUAAAGCCCUUUUGUUGGGAAAGAAAAGCAGCAGGUUAAUACCCCGCUGUUCUGACGGUACCCAAAGAAUAAGCACCGGCUAACUUCGUG
rnacentral:rRNA from 1 species